AUUGAACGCUGGCGGCAGGCCUAACACAUGCAAGUCGAACGGUAACAGGAAGAAGCUUGCUUCUUUGCUGACGAGUGGCGGACGGGUGAGUAAUGUCUGGGAAACUGCCUGAUGGAGGGGGAUAACUACUGGAAACGGUAGCUAAUACCGCAUAACGUCGCAAGCCCAAAGAGGGGGACCUUCGGGCCGCUUGCCAUCGGAUGUGCCCAGAUGGGAUUAGCUAGUAGGUGGGGUAACGGCUCACCUAGGCGACGAUCCCUAGCUGGUCUGAGAGGAUGACCAGCCACACUGGAACUGAGACACGGUCCAGACUCCUACGGGAGGCAGCAGUGGGGAAUAUUGCACAAUGGGCGCAAGCCUGAUGCAGCCAUGCCGCGUGUAUGAAGAAGGCCUUCGGGUUGUAAAGUACUUUUAGCGGGGAGGAAGGGAUUUAAGUUAAUACCUUUACUCAUUGACGUUACCCGCAGAAGAAGCACCGGCUAACUCCGUG
rnacentral:rRNA from 1 species